rnacentral:rRNA from 1 species
UACGAAGGGGGCUAGCGUUGCUCGGAAUGACUGGGCGUAAAGGGCGCGUAGGCGGCAUACACAGUCAGAUGUGAAAUUCCUGGGCUCAACCUGGAGACUGCAUUUGAUACGUGUAAGCUAGAGUGGAGAAGAGGGUCGUGGAAUUUCCAGUGUAGAGGUGAAAUUCGUAGAUAUUGGAAAGAACACCGGUGGCGAAGGCGGCGACCUGGUCUUUAACUGACGCUGAGGCGCGAAAGCGUGGGGAGCAAACAGGGAUUAGAUACCCUGGUAGUCCACGCUGUAAACGAUGUGUGCUGGAUGUUGGGAAACUUAGUUUUCAGUGUCGUAGCUAACGCGAUAAGCACACCGCCUGGGGAGUACGGCCGCAAGGUUGAAACUCAA